GGGAUAUAGAAUUUACCUCAAGGUGCUGAAACUAAGGCUGAAUAUUAUCGAUCUCUCUACACUGCCAGAAAAAAAGGUUUCAAUGCGCAAAACAGACAAGGCAGUUCUUAUAUGUCGACUGGAAAUGCCGUGUUGAGGUCACUUGUCCUUCCUACCUUCCAAAUCAAGUUGUGGUCCAAAAAGCCUGACGAUAUAAGGUUGUCAAUGGGCGGAGCAAGUGUAUGGGGUGACUUGGUCUGGAUAGGUUUUGUCUUAUUCUAGCUGCAAGCGUUAAGAUGUAUAGAAAGUUCAGCUGAUUACACGUAUGAGCAUAACUGAGACUGGUGGACGUGACGAACUUCCGUUUCCUCCUCUGGGGAGGUACAGUAUGUCUGCAUGUUAUAUGAUAGAUGGAACUUAUCAACAGCGAUAACUUCCGUUGGAAGGUGCAGAACGUAGAUUCUGGCGCUGUCUACCCAUGGUGGGUUCAGCAGUAGCUCGACUCCGCAUGAUAACGUCUGGACCAAUCUGCCCACGCCCGCGAGAUUACGACCAGAUAACGAGAUCUCAGAGUGAUAUUAUAAUCAAUUGGAAUCAUUCGGGAUGCUAUUAAUUCGUCCCAAGGUUACUCUGUUAUGCAUCAGAUGCGUGUUGCGGUAGUGGUGUUUGCCGAUCAUUUUGGGACGGGGUUGUUAAAGGGAGAUGCAGCAAUGACCUUCUUGAUUAUUAUGACAUUCACGUACUUCUAUAGUCAUAUAAACGUACAUCAUGAUGAUAAGAACUAUAACAAAAAGUGCUUCUAUAGAAACGAUAGAUGUCAAAACCGUACGUCAACAUUAUUAAAAAAAACUAUUAAAAACAACAACAACAAAAAGAAAAAGAAAAAAACUUUAAAAAAGUUAAUGUUACGGUUUUGUGUCUGUUACGAGUAACUUCACGCUUGAGCGCGCCACUGAGGCCCUCUGAACAUGCUAAGUGUAUCUCCAUUCGAUCCUCCCAAUAGGAGACUAUGUUUCGGAUGACUGUGGACUGCUUAUGGAGUCUCGUUGACAUAAGGUCAUCAUGGGACCUCACCGCCAUCUCUACUUGAAAGCUGUCUCAGAUAAUGCCCUGCUUAUACGACCGAUAUAUACGCAACUAUAAAGUACAUAUGAACCCAGAUGGCGCGUGCGCAAUGCGAAUAAUUAUGAUGUUUAUGAAUGUUAUGGCGCCUAGGUCAUUCCUAAAUCUUCUUUAAUGAGCAAGUUGAAGAUGUUUCACCACUGCUGCCUUGAGACCAAUUAAGCAUAAACCGAAUGUUUUGCUGAGCAAACGUGCUUCCUUUAAAAUCCCAUUAGAGCAACAUGUUGUCCAGACCAGUUUAAAUCGGUCAUCAAAAACCUAUCAUAGCCUUAAUCAGUAUGGGUUUUGCGUACAGGUGUAUGAAUGAACUGUUCAUUUUCUGUAUACAGGGUGCUCCAGUGGUAUUUUAAAGAGGGCGCAGUUUCUCAUGCAUUUUGUCCUUUAACUGUCCAAGCCGAUUCGGCCUUAGCUCUUCAAGCAAAGAACUUAUUCAGGAAAACAUGGAGGCCUGACUGUAAAUUCGCCAAAGACACAAGAUACAAUGUAAGCCUACUUAAACAUCGAAAACUCAUGUCUUGGUCGACAAAAAAACUUGCAGCUGGGGUGUUCUCUCUCACUUUUACCAAUGUAAAAAACCGCCAUAACAAAACACCCGUAAGCUGAGAAGAAGCGUCGGUUUCACGGGUUAUACUAAAGUACAUGAUGAGACGCCUGCGAUUUUUUUGCACUUCGAGUACAACAAUAUUGUUGAUAAAUUUACAAGUGCAGCGUUUGUUAAAUAAAAGUUUGGAGUGGUGUUAUC